CUGGCGGCGUGCUUAACACAUGCAAGUCGAACGGUGAACACGGAGCUUGCUCUGUGGGAUCAGUGGCGAACGGGUGAGUAACACGUGAGCAACCUGCCCCUGACUCUGGGAUAAGCGCUGGAAACGGCGUCUAAUACUGGAUACGAACCAUGAAGGCAUCUUCAGUGGUUGGAAAGAUUUAUUGGUUGGGGAUGGGCUCGCGGCCUAUCAGCUUGUUGGUGAGGUAAUGGCUCACCAAGGCGUCGACGGGUAGCCGGCCUGAGAGGGUGACCGGCCACACUGGGACUGAGACACGGCCCAGACUCCUACGGGAGGCAGCAGUGGGGAAUAUUGCACAAUGGGCGCAAGCCUGAUGCAGCAACGCCGCGUGAGGGAUGACGGCCUUCGGGUUGUAAACCUCUUUUAGCAGGGAAGAAGCGAAAGUGACGGUACCUGCAGAAAAAGCGCCGGCUAACUACGUGCCAGCAGCCGCGGUAAUACGUAGGGCGCAAGCGUUAUCCGGAAUUAUUGGGCGUAAAGAGCUCGUAGGCGGUUUGUCGCGUCUGCUGUGAAAUCCGGAGGCUCAACCUCCGGCCUGCAGUGGGUACGGGCAGACUAGAGUGCGGUAGGGGAGAUUGGAAUUCCUGGUGUAGCGGUGGAAUGCGCAGAUAUCAGGAGGAACACCGAUGGCGAAGGCAGAUCUCUGGGCCGUAACUGACGCUGAGGAGCGAAAGGGUGGGGAGCAAACAGGCUUAGAUACCCUGGUAGUCCACCCCGUAAACGUUGGGAACUAGUUGUGGGGUCCAUUCCACGGAUUCCGUGACGCAGCUAACGCAUUAAGUUCCCCGCCUGGGGAGUACGGCCGCAAGGCUAAAACUCAAAGGAAUUGACGGGGACCCGCACAAGCGGCGGAGCAUGCGGAUUAAUUCGAUGCAACGCGAAGAACCUUACCAAGGCUU
rnacentral:rRNA from 1 species